UACGUAGGGUGCGAGCGUUGUCCGGAAUUAUUGGGCGUAAAGAGCUUGUAGGCGGUUUGUCGCGUCUGCUGUGAAAAUCCGGGGCUCAACCCCGGACUUGCAGUGGGUACGGGCAGACUAGAGUGUGGUAGGGGAGACUGGAAUUCCUGGUGUAGCGGUGAAAUGCGCAGAUAUCAGGAGGAACACCGAUGGCGAAGGCAGGUCUCUGGGCCGAUACUGACGCUGAGAGCGAAAGCGUGGGGAGCGAACAGG
rnacentral:rRNA from 1 species